ACUCAAAGGAAUUGACGGGGCCCCGCACAAGCGGCGGAGCAUGCGGAUUAAUUCGAUGCAACGCGUAGAACCUUACCUGGGUUUGACAUGGAUCGGGAGUGCUCAGAGAUGGGUGUGCCUCUUUUGGGGUCGGUUCACAGGUGGUGCAUGGCUGUCGUCAGCUCGUGUCGUGAGAUGUUGGGUUAAGUCCCGCAACGAGCGCAACCCUUGUUCACUGUUGCCAGCACGUUAUGGUGGGGACUCAGUGGAGACCGCCGGGGUCAACUCGGAGGAAGGUGGGGAUGACGUCAAGUCAUCAUGCCCCUUAUGUCCAGGGCUUCACGCAUGCUACAAUGGCUGGUACAGAGAGUGGCGAGCCUGUGAGGGUGAGCGAAUCUCGGAAAGCCGGUCUCAGUUCGGAUUGGGGUCUGCAACUCGACCUCAUGAAGUCGGAGUCGCUAGUAAUCGCAGAUCAGCAACGCUGCGGUGAAUACGUUCCCGGGGCUUGUACACACCGCCCGU
rnacentral:rRNA from 1 species